UAUUGAAACACCAGUUCUUGCAUGAUCACUGAAGUUAAACAACAUCGAGCCUGGUCAGUAUCUAGAUGGGUGACUGCUUGGGAAUGCCCGGGCUGUAGG